CUCCGCCACGGCACAACCCAAGGGGGGCGGGGGGGCGCCAACCCAGACAGGAAGACCUUAAGUCGUCCACAUACAUUCGGUUUACUCCUAGAAGAAUUCGGCUAUGAGAAGUGAACAUCUGUGCUCGCAUUCUCCCUUGAAAAAGUGGCAAUAUUACUGUUUGCCCUUCUUUUUUUAACCUUUUUUUCUCUCCAAUUUUGUCUUAUCCCAUUGGUAAUUACAGUCUUGGCUCAUUGCUGCAACUCCCCUAUGGACUCGGGAGAGGCAAAGGUCGAGAGCCAUGCAUCCUCCAAAACAUGACCCCGCCAAGCCGCACUGCUCACUAAACCUGGAAGUCAGCCGCACCAAAGUGUCAGAGGAAACACCGUCCUACUGACAACCGAAGUCAGCUUGCAGGCAACCGGCCACCACAUGGAGUCACUAGAGCAUGAUGGACAAGGAAAUUCUGGCCGGCCAAAACCUCCCCAAACCCCGACGACGCUGUGCCAAUUGUGCAUCGCCUCGGAGGGUCUCCCGGUCACGAUCGGCUGUGACACAGGCUGGGAUCAAACCCGAGGCUGUAGGGACACCUCAGCACCGCGAUGCAGUGCCAUAGAUCACUGCGCCACUCAGGAGGUCCUGUUUGUCCCUCUUGAGUUGCUGUAGUAUCAUGUUCACUUCCUCAAAAUAGUCUGAAUUAAUCUAAGAUAACUCAAGAUAUGUGUAAUUCAUUUGGACAUUUUUGCAGAGGAGUCACGCAAUUUUACAUCUAAUUAAGAUGUUUGGUGCAGUAUUUUUCAAGUGAAAAAAAUGUGCUUUAAAACUAGUCCUCUGUCGUUGAAUGACAACAAACAUUUAAUUGAAGGAUCCCUACUCUUGACCAGUCACCAACGAAGAGGUGCUGACUUGGCUACCGAAGUUCGACAAGCCUAAAGAAAAAUAAAUGUGUUCUAGUACAGCCCAAAAAAGACCUGAACACUGCCCAACACCAAACCAGGGGUUAGAACCGGUUCAGGGAACAGAACCGAAAACCGGAAAAUAACAAAAUUCUCGAGGAACUGAAUCCGAACCGGAAACUAAAGUGAGCUAUACUGUUCCCGAAACAGAACCAUUAUUUUAAAAGCAUGGGAACCAGUUAUCAACAUUCUUUUACAUUCUGGGCAUUUUUUCCCAGUCCCACAAAAAUUACAGCAAAGCGCCUAUGCAAAGCCCUCACUCUGUCACUUAGAAACUUAUUCUAUCGUUUGCCUGCCAACUGGAAAUCUUUGCCAGUGGGUGUGCUGUAUGUUGGCUCCCUGCCUCUCCCCCUCUGAAACAUAGGUUACUGUAUGCUACUGACAACGUUACAUGUGUAAUUCAGAAAUUCAGGAGAGAAGUUUAAUUAGAGAAGAAUGGAUUGACUUUUUCAAUACUAGUAAAGUAUACUAUAAUUAUCACGUUUCACAUUGGAUUUAAUAACAACAAAAUGCUAAGACAUGUUUUUUAUUCUAGUGCUGCUCUGCACACACAAGUUUGUUAGCCAGCUAGUUUGCUCUGGUCCAUCAUUAAACCAACUCGGAAGUUCAAAGACAUUCAAAGCCGCUCCUCCGUAGGUAUAAUUCUGUGGGCCUAAUUCAGGUAAUGCAUGUCAUAACAAGAUGCUCGGCGCUUCAAGGCAAGCUUCCUUCACCCUCUCUCACUCUCUCCUCAAUUUCAGUUGCAUCUCGCGCCCUACACUGGUCUGUUCAUAGUGACUAGGAGCACAGUCUGUGUGUUUGUCUUUCAUUAUGAUUAAACCAUGUAAAAUAUAAUUAGCUCUUAACAACUUUCCUAUACAGAUUAAAUUGCUUACCCGCUCCAUAACAAGCGGCUCAAUCCGCACUGAUUGGUGAAGAAAUGUAAGGUAAAAAAAAUAACAUUUCAGAGGUUUAAUAAGAAACAGAAAGGAAUGAUAUAAACCUGUACUUGUAUGGGCUUCAAACCGGUUCAGAACAUUAUUUUGUUAAUCGGGAAAAGUGGAACAGAAUUAAAAAAAUAAUGAUUCUGUUCAAAACAAAAUUACUGGAAAUCAUUUCGGUUUCAACCCCUGUACCAAUACAAACAAAAACGUCACAAAAUGUAAUCAUAGUAUAUGCGCAAACUGUUUCGACUGGGAAGCAUACGUUAUGCUUUACUCCCAAUUUAUCACCUUAACGCUGAGUCCCAAGCAGAGACACAUCAGGUCCCAUUUCUACAGUCUUUGGUAUGAUCUGGCUGAGGAAUUGAAUUCCCAACCUUUCCAUCUCAGGGCGGACACUCUAACCACAAGGCCACAGAGUCGGUAAACUCCUUUAGUGCUUUCGUAAUAUUUUUUGUCUCUAUCUAUUUUAACCAACGGAACAAUGUAGCCUAAAAUAUAGAGACAUAUAAUGCUACCUUUCUAUUCUUUCUCUCAUGGACCAAGAAGAAUAGUAAGGGUCUUGCACAACAUGUCUGUAGUUGCAAAAGUGUCUUGGACCAUAAAUAAUAAUAAUGAAUAAAACGAAUCGAUUGGAUUUAUAUAGAACGUUUCUACAAACUGAGGUUCUCAAAGCGAUUUACACAAUAAGGGGGAAGAAUCACGUUCUUACCUCUUAUGUUUGAGUGGAAGAGACAGAGAUAAGUUGUUGUGUAACAUCAUGCUGGAUAAAGUGCUGCAAACUACUUGUAUUCUUUUAUCCAGAACAAAACACGUUGACACAGAUCGUAAAAACAGAUUCAAGUGGAUAAAUCCAAUAAAAAGUGAAUGAAAUUGCAUAACUGAAAUGUAAAUGGACACGUCAACCAAUUUAUCUACCACUCAAAACAUAAAUGAUCCUAUUCAUUAUUCCAUCAUGGGUCUGUACAACAUGGCUCCUUUAGGGCCUGAGAUUUCAAUAGAAGUAUUAUGAAAAUAAUUUCUUAUAUAUUGAGUGAUAAACUAACAUUUUCUCACUAUAGGAACCCCUAUCUGAAGGCUACUUACACUGAGUGUACAAAACAUUAAUAUUGAGUUGCACCCCCUUUUUCUCAGAACAGCCUCAAUUCAUCGGGGCAUGGAGUCUAAGGUGUUGAAGGCGUUCCACAGGGAUGCUGGCCCAUGUUGACUCCAAUGCUUCCCACAGCUGUGUCAAGUUGGCUGCAUGUCCUUUGGGUGGUGGACCGUUCUUGAUACACACAGGAAACUGUUGGAUGUGAAAAAGCCAGCAGCGUUGCAGUUCUUGAAACAAACCGGUGCGCCUGGCACCUACUACCAUACACCGUUCAAAUGCACUUAAAUAUGUUUUCUUGC
rnacentral:lncRNA from 1 species